rnacentral:rRNA from 1 species
GAACCGCAUGGUUCAAAAGUGAAAGACGGUCUUGCUGUCACUUAUAGAUGGAUCCGCGCUGCAUUAGCUAGUUGGUAAGGUAACGGCUUACCAAGGCAACGAUGCAUAGCCGACCUGAGAGGGUGAUCGGCCACACUGGAACUGAGACACGGUCCAGACUCCUACGGGAGGCAGCAGUAGGGAAUCUUCCGCAAUGGGCGAAAGCCUGACGGAGCAACGCCGCGUGAGUGAUGAAGGUCUUCGGAUCGUAAAACUCUGUUAUUAGGGAAGAACAUAUGUGUAAGUAACUGUGCACAUCUUGACGGUACCUAAUCAGAAAGCCACGGCUAACUACGUGCCAGCAGCCGCGGUAAUACGUAGGUGGCAAGCGUUAUCCGGAAUUAUUGGGCGUAAAGCGCGCGUAGGCGGUUUUUUAAGUCUGAUGUGAAAGCCCACGGCUCAACCGUGGAGGGUCAUUGGAAACUGGAAAACUUGAGUGCAGAAGAGGAAAGUGGAAUUCCAUGUGUAGCGGUGAAAUGCGCAGAGAUAUGGAGGAACACCAGUGGCGAAGGCGACUUUCUGGUCUGUAACUGACGCUGAUGUGCGAAAGCGUGGGGAUCAAACAGGAUUAGAUACCCUGGUAGUCCACGCCGUAAACGAUGAGUGCUAAGUGUUAGGGGGUUUCCGCCCCUUAGUGCUGCAGCUAACGCAUUAAGCACUCCGCCUGGGGAGUACGACCGCAAGGUUGAAACUCAAAGGAAUUGACGGGGACCCGCACAAGCGGUGGAGCAUGUGGUUUAAUUCGAAGCAACGCGAAGAACCUUACCAAAUCUUGACAUCCUUUGACAACUCUAGAGAUAGAGCCUUCCCCUUCGGGGGACAAAGUGACAGGUGGUGCAUGGUUGUCGUCAGCUCGUGUCGUGAGAUGUUGGGUUAAGUCCCGCAACGAGCGCAACCCUUAAGCUUAGUUGCCAUCAUUAAGUUGGGCACUCUAAGUUGACUGCCGGUGACAAACCGGAGGAAGGUGGGGAUGACGUCAAAUCAUCAUGCCCCUUAUGAUUUGGGCUACACACGUGCUACAAUGGACAAUACAAAGGGCAGCGAAACCGCGAGGUCAAGCAAAUCCCAUAAAGUUGUUCUCAGUUCGGAUUGUAGUCUGCAACUCGACUACAUGAAGCUGGAAUCGCUAGUAAUCGUAGAUCAGCAUGCUACGGUGAAUACGUUCCCGGGUCUUGUACACACCGCCCGUCACACCACGAGAGUUUGUAACACCCGAAGCCGGUGGAGUAACCUUUUAGGAGCUAGCCGUCGAAGGUGGGACAAAUGAUUGGGGUGAAGUCUC